CUCCAUUACCAGCAGGGAUCAAGAGUAAUGAACGGAUUGGGCUGUUUGGGUGCGGUGUGAAAUAGUGAAGUUUCUAACAUUGUAAGGCCCAGGAUAUGAAGAAAUUGUCGCUUUCCUGUGGGCACAGAUGACAGAAGGCUGUGCAAAGACUGCGGAUGCCCUGCCUGUUUUCCACGAGCCCCAUAGGUGCUGUAAAACCAAACCCUUAUCGCCAGGCCAUGAAGGGUCCAGGGCUACUUCACCGUGAGCUAAAGUCAGCCUCCUGAGUGGACAGUGGACGACCACCUCCCCGUGUCAGCCCCACCAGUCCAGCUGCUGGGCGAGCAGAGGAAGGAGUGGCAGCCGUAUUCCACCCUACGAGCUGGGCCCAGAGAUUGGGCCGUUGGGAGGUGACGAGGACUGGAUGAAGUCAUUAGGACAGAAUCUCCACGACAGUGUCUUCAAAAGGAAGAGCGAGAGACACCGGAAGACAGGACACACUCACAUGCACACCACAUCCUACUCCCUGUCUGCCGCCACGUGAGUCCCUCAAGGACCUCAGGACUCUGCCGGAAAGGAGGUCAUCACUCGAUGCAGCACUGGCCCUUAGACAGACCAUGAGCCAAAGCGAACGUCUUUAUAAAGCCACUUCGCCUCAGGUGUUUUCUUAUAACAAGGAGAACUGGACUCAUGCAUCAUCUGUCCGCCCCCGGGAAGAGCCAACACCCCAGUGAAGGGAGCUGCCUCAGCUAUUUUAGUACAAUAGCAGUUGAGGAGCCCUUUUGUGCAGCUAGUGCUACAAAGAUAAGUCCCGGUAACCACAAGAAACCAUUCUAACAUACACACUGACUGCGCUACUCCGACAAUGAUUGAAAUGUU